rnacentral:lncRNA from 1 species
CGAUACAUUGCGGGAUAUUCUUUUUUGAUUUUAAGUUGUACAUUUUUUUUUAUCAAUUUUGUUUAGUAUCUAUUAUUGUAUCAUUAUAUUAUGGACUAUGAUUUAACCUAUGGAAUACUGCAUGAGAUUUUUUUUUUUUAACUUACAUGACAAUUUAUAUAUAUAUAUAUAUAUAUAUAAUUGUAAUUAAUCAACUUUUUAUUAAAUAUGUCUAGGGAAAAAACUCGUUUGAUUUCAGACUAAUAUAUAGACAAUCCGUAUGACAAACAUAAUCAUAUUUAUGUAAACC